AGACACCAGAGCUGUCCCUCUCUCGGCUUGCACUAAGGAGGAGGUCACGUGAGCACACAGUGAGAAGGCGGAGGACCAUCUGCAAGCAGGAAGAGAGCCCUCGCUAGAACCCCCCACGGUGGCAUCUGAUAGUGGACUUCUAGCUUCCAGAACUGAACUCAUAAAUGUCACAUCAGGCUGCCUCUUGGUGAAUUUUUAAUCAACAGGGAGAAUUUCAGCUACAAAUAGACCAAGAAUCAAGAGGCCCGCUAUUGAUCAGUCAAAGUGGCACUUAUGAACCUGAGGUUGAAGCAGUUUGGAUAAAAGGAUUCUGGGCUUUCUAUGGCCCCAGAGACAUCUUUUUCCAUCAAGUCCAGACUUGCUGAUCAGUGCAGCUGAGAACAUGUUGAAUUUGAUGUGCCUGUGGAUAUUUGAGUCUGGAACAUUGAAGACAAGUUUGGUCUGGAGAUGUAGACUGGGGAUAUCUCAGCACACAGAUGAUAACUGAAAUGAUGGAGCGGAUGAUAUAACCUGGAGAGAAUCUGGUGUGGGAAGAGUCUUCCCUGAGGUGGCCGAAAGAUGUAAUUCUUACUCCAAAGACUGAAAUAGAGACAAGAGAAGCUGAAGUUACAGGGUUUUGUCAUUGGGAAGACAGUAGAGUGUGUCAUAUCCCAAGAGUGAAGCAAGGACAAACCAAAGAACAACUGGGAAGAUCUGGGAGAAAAAGGAGACAGGGUCUUACUUUGUUGCCAAGGCUGGCUUCAAACUCCUGACUUCAAGAGAUCCUCCCACCCCACCCACCCAAAGUGCUGGGAUUACAGGUGUGCGCCACUGUGCCUAGCAGGUCAUCAGUCUUUGAGAUGCUGUUGACAAAGCCAUUUGAUGAUAUCAAAGAAGGAAUGAAGCAUAAGGUUUUUUGGCCCCUCUGCUUGGGAUGCCACUUGCAGGCAGAACUCUCCACAGUUUUACCAUCCAGUGAAGAAUCACCUGUUUAUAGCCUGUGUAAAAUCAAUGAUGCUUCUUGGAAACAAGUCUAUUCUCAUAGACAUCUUGACGUUGCAUGGCUGAGUCAUUUGUCAGAGUGCUCUGGCUUUAAAUAUACCUCCAAGUCUUAAGACACAUGAACUUUUGAGGUGCAGGAAUCAGCAAUUCUAAAAGGCACAAGUCUUCCAUCCAAGGUCCUGGUUGCCUUCUAGAUCCUGUUCUAACAAACAGAUCUCCAAAUCUCAUUUGCUUCACCCCAUACAAGUUUAUUUGCCGAGAACAUCAAGGUGAAGGCCUGUGCUGAGUGCCACAGGGAACAGCAUUUAGCAACAUCAAGCAGGAGAGGCAGAGAAAGCAGCAAUAACUCCACAUAUGACUUGGAAAUUGGCUCAGUCUCGUGGCAGGAGAUGUGUGUUUUUAUGGUGUUAAGUGUGAAGGAGUGAAAGCAGCCAGUGAUCAGGAGCGCCAACGCAGCUCCUUCCCAGGAGCCUUCCCGGCUGCUUCCCCUUUGUGGGAGAUGUGCUGGAAGGAGUACUAAGAGGAGAGAUGCUUUCCUUUAGUAGGAUGGCAGCUUUGGGAAAGAGACGCGAGAGUGAGUGUGCAGAGAGCUUGUUCUGAGUGCAAGAGAUAAGUGGGAUGCAUCCUGUCUUAGAGGCAAUCAAGCAAGAGAGGAUGGGGUGGCAGGCACUUCAGCUCUCUAGCCCCUCCUUCCAGGGCAGAGCCAUUUUAGAGACCCACGCCUUUUCCCCAUCCAUAGGCUGCUGAAGCCAGAAACAGCCCAGCACUUAAGAGGGGAGCGGAAAAUGACAUCACUAGUCUGGGCAGUAUCUUCUCAGCCUAAACCAUUAUUCCCUCCCUCCCUUUUAACAAAGACUCCUAGUUUCCCACCCAAUAUGCAGUCUCCAUUUUCUUCCUAAUUGAAUGUUGACUUCUUCCCCCUGGGAAACAAGAUAUCAAGGAAAAUGAUGCACCUUGUUUGCCUCCCUUGCAAGUGGGCCUGGCCCAUCCAUCAGAGUAAACAAAAUUAUUUCCCAGAUAUGAACAACUAUGUCUACAGAAAUAAACAAAUGUUUUUGGAAUCACUGCCAUAGAGAAUCAAGGCGAAGAAAGUUUUCUGAAUUCUUCAGCCAGCAGAACCCAAAACUCUGAAUUUUCCUAAAGAGGGGGUGACUUUGCCUUGGGUUUGCCAUUUGAGCAGAGAUCAGCUAGUGAGUUGUAUCUCUGGUCUGCAGAGCUUGUGAAUGGUACAGAAAAUGAGGAGGAUUUUGAAGCCAGCUAAGGCCAGGAGAGGAGAGCCUGACGUUUCAAGAACUCAAGGUUCAGUACUAGGUCUCAGAGGAAGACUUCAUUUUAGCUUUGAUGCUCUCCGCUAGGCACAGAGAAUCUUAAGCAGAAUGACAAGACCUGCUGUUUGAGUAACUCACGUUCUGACCAGAGAGACAGACAUGUCAGCAAGAGGUUACAAUACAGUGUGCUCAGAUUCUCCGGGACUUGGAGCACUUGUUCCAGAAAGGAAGGCCAGGGAAGUCUUCCAGGAGUAGAUGGCGCCUCUGCUGACCUGAAGGGUGAGGAAAAAGUGUCCAGUUGCAGAAGAAAUGAUGCAACUGAGUCACAGAGAAGUUAAGUAAUCUGCCUGCCGACACUCGGGUCGAUGCCGCCUCAUUCCAUCACUCGGGCAAUGGAGCCAAAGGCCACGUUCACAACCACUAGGCUGUCCCAGCCCCUUGGUGUGAUUUGUCCCUUCCUAAGCUUCAAAGAUAGCCAGGCAGGAGUUAUUUUAUAGAAUGGAAGUAAUUUCUAUGGGGCCAAGCAAUAAUAAGGAAAUUGGAAGUCAAGGACUAUCUUCCGAAUGGAGAAGAAGCUCCAUCAACCACAGAAGGAAAUUAUGAUCACUCCUGCCAUCCUGCUCCUUUGUGUAUCCAGGAUGAAGGGGAGAAUUGGAGUCUUGCACAAUGAAAGGACAACAUUGCUGCCAAAACAAUCCAUCGUGACUGUAGACAUAUUUUCCACCCUCAUCCUGCAGGUUUUCUGCCAGUUGUUGGCCCCUCAUCAAUUUUGCUCCUGGGCAGUCUGAGGUGGAACAUAAUUUUGUAUAAAACAAAUUAUGCUCAACCUCACUUAUAAUCAGGGAAAUGUGAGUCAAAACCACAAUAAAAUAUCACCUCAUGCUGUUUAGGAUUGCUGUUAUCAAGUAGACAAGAAAGAAGUGUUGGUGAGG